GUCAGUAUAAAUCAUGUUACCGAAGGAAAAGGGUGUAUUUGUCACUUGCCCUCACCACUUGGCUGAAGUGGUUGUUCCUGGAAAAGAUAGUUGAGUGAGUGGGUAGAUACAACAUCAGUAAGAACUGGAGUUUCACUUUUGUGGCCAAGUGAGAUGAGAUAUCUGAGUAGAACUGUCAGAAAAAAAAUGCAGGGCCAUGCUCAGGAGUUAAUGUUUUCUGGGAGAGGAAAAGGAAACAACAAGAGUGUACUUUGGCCACCUCAUGCGAAGAGUUGACUGAUUGGAAAAGACUCUGAUGCUGGGAGGGAUUGGGGGCAGGAGGAGAAGGGGAUGACAGAGGAUGAGACGGCUGGAUGGCAUCACCGACUCGAUGGAGUAGUCAUGUAUGGAUGUGAGAAUUGGACCAAAAAGAAAGCUGAGUGCCAGAGAAUUGAUGGCUUUUGAACUGUGGUGUUGGAGAAGACUCUUGAGAGUCCCUUGGACAGCAAGGAGAUCAAACCUAAAGGAAGUCCAUCCUAAAGGAAGCCAGUCCUGAAUAUUCAUUGGAAGGACUGAUGGUGAAGCUGAAGCUCCAAUACUUUGGCCACCUGAUGCGAAGAACUGACUCAUUAGAAAGACCCUGAUGCUGGGAAAGAUUGAAGGUGGGAGGAGAAGGGGAUGACAGAGGAUGAGAUGGUUGGAUGACAUUACCAACUUGAUGGACAUGAGUUUGAGCAAGCUCUGGGAAUUGGUGAUGAACAGGGAAGCCUGGUAUGCUGCAGUCCACGGGGUUGCAAAGAGUCAGACACGACUGAAUGACUGAACUGAACACCUCUUUCACAGAGAUUCACAGCAACCACUGGCAUUUUCCCCCUCAGCUUUAUAGAGGUACAAUUAACAAUUACAAAUUGUACAUAUUUAAGUUUAAAAUGUGGUAUUUUCAUUUAUGUGUAUAUUGUGAAAUGAUUUCCACACUCAAGCUAAUUGACAUAUCCAUCACUUUGCAUCAUCAUCUCUUUCUAUGUGAUGAAGAUCCAAGAUUUCAAGUGUAUAAUAUGGUAAUAUUAACUAUAGUCACCAUGCUAUAUAUUAAUUCUCCACAGCUUACUCAUCCUGAAUAACUGAAGCUUUGUACCUUUGAACAAGAUCUCCACAUUUUCCCCACCCCAACACCUGGCAACCACCAUUCUGCUUCUUGCUUUAGUAAGUUAAAAUUCUAAGGUAGUGGGGUGAAAGGACAUGCGCACAUCUUUUUUUGAGAGAGCACCAAAAUCGCAACUAGCUGCUGAACAAUCAUUGACAGGAGAAUGCUGGAACCCACCAAAAAAAGAUACCCCACAUCCAAAGACAAAGAAGAAGCCACAGUGAGACAGUGGGAGGGGUGAAAUCACAAUAAAAUCAAAUCCAAUACCUGCCAGGUAGGUGACCCACAAAUUGGAGAACAGUAAAACCAAGGAAGUUCUCCUACUGUUAUGAAGGUUCUGAACACUACAUCAGGCUUCCCAUCCUGAGGAGCUGGCAAAGGGACUGGGAAUCCCCACGGCAUCUGACCUUGAAGACCAGCAG
ensembl:lncRNA